AUUACUGUAUCUUCUACCAGUUCUAGAUGAAUCAGCUAUGCCACCAGAAAAAACACCAGCGGUCUAUGAAUAUGAAUACCAAAAGGUAAAACAAUAUUCUGUACCUUGUCAACAGCUAAAAGUCAGAUCCUCAAAAAGGACUGUUUUGAAGUGGAUUGAACUAUAAAAAACUCAAAGGAACUGGCCUGGAUGAUAUUAUCUGCACUUCUUCCUCUGCCUCGACCUCUGAGACCUUGCCCUCUUCCACGACCUCUUUCUUUUGAAUUCUUUGAAUUGUUUUUAACUGGAGCACGUUCACUGUUUCACAUGUCCACUCAGAGUUAAAUCUCUUGGCGCUCGAAAUGAAGUCAGCCUGGUUGUUGUUGGUGGAAAGCCACCUUCUGUUUUGAUGCUCGUAGAAGGAGUUGACGUCGCUGCAGAGGUGCCUGGUUCGGCUUUAAUUUGGAUGGCUGGAUCUAGCCCCGAGUGACUGGCACGAAUUUUAUUGGAGUCCAUUUCUAUGAAAGAAUUUUGAGAAUCAUUUAAUCUGCAUAGUU
rnacentral:misc_RNA from 1 species